rnacentral:hammerhead_ribozyme from 1 species
ACACUGUUGAGGAGUCUCACAAUAGAACGAAACGGCCGUCCAGUAC